rnacentral:lncRNA from 1 species
UUUCCGUUGAAAUACUUAUGCCUGAAAUAGACCUAGUGGGUAAGUCGGCGAGGUCGGUUGCCGAACCCACUGGAAACUUCGUUGUAGUUCUCACACCACUAACCCUACAGGUCCUAGCACGAGCGGGGCGGCGGAGGACCGAGGCAAGGGUUUAGCGCCGUAGAUAGCGGCCACCGGGACUAUUUCACAUUUUGUAGUCAUUUUCCUUUUGGUUUACAUGUAUCAACUUCUUUUGUUGAUUUUGAAAGUUGUAAAGUUGAA